rnacentral:rRNA from 1 species
CAAUAGCGUAUACUAAUGUUGUUGCAGUUAAAAAGCUCGUAGUUGCACUUCUGGUAGGAGUGUCCCGGCCUUUUUGUUUUUACAAAUUGUAUGCUGUGUGACAUCUCUGGCCAUCCUUCUUCUUUGUUUAAAGAAGAUCUUUCACUGUAAAAAAAUUAGGGUGUUCAAAGCAAAAGUUUCUUUGGAAUAUAUUAGUAUGGGAUGAUAAGAUAGGCUCUAGAUGCUAUUUUGUUGGUUUGCACAUUUAGAGAAUGAUUAACAGGGACAGUUGGGGGUAUUCGUAUUUACAUGUCAGAGGUGAAAUUCUUGGAUUUUGGAAAGACGAACUACUGCGAAAGCAUUUACCAAGGAUGUUUUCAUUAA